rnacentral:rRNA from 1 species
CCUACGGGUGGCAGCAGUAGGGAAUAUUGCUCAAUGGGGGAAACCCUGAAGCAGCAACGCCGCGUGGAGGAUGAAGGUUUUCGGAUUGUAAACUCCUGUUGUUAGAGAAGAUAAUGACGGUAUCUAACGAAUAAGCACCGGCUAACUCCGUGCCAGCAGCCGCGGUAAUACGGAGGGUGCAAGCGUUACUCGGAAUCACUGGGCGGAAAGAGCGCGUAGGCGGGAUAGCAAGUCAGAUGUGAAAUCCUAUGGCUUAACCAUAGAACUGCCUUUGAAACUGUUAUUCUAGAGUAUGGGAGAGGUAGGUGGAAUUCUUGGUGUAGGGGUAAAAUCCGUAGAGAUCAAGAGGAAUACUCAUGGCGAAGGCGACCUGCUAGAACAUAACUGACGCUGAUGAGCGAAAGCGUGGGGAGCAAACAGGAUUAGAUACCCUUGUAGUC